rnacentral:rRNA from 1 species
GAUGAACGCUGGCGGCGUGCUUAACACAUGCAAGUCGAACGGAAAGGCCCUGCUUUCGUGGGGUGUUCGUGUGGAGCACGGGUGUAUCACGUGAGUGUCAUCCGCUUAUCUCUUUGGUAUGCCUUCAGGACACUGGGGAAUACCCCGGAUAGGCGCUCACGCCGCAUGGUGGGGGUUGGAGAGUUUUCGCGGUUGGGGAUGGACUCGCGGCUUAUCAGCUUGUUGGUGGGGUAGUGGCUUACCAAGGCGUUGACGGGUAGCCGGCCUGAGAGGGUGACCGGCCACAUUGGGACUGAGAUACGGCCCAGACUCCUACGGGAGGCAGCAGUGGGGAAUAUUGCGCAAUGGGCGGAAGCCUGAUGCAGCAACGCCGCGUGCGGGAUGACGGCCUUCGGGUUGUAAACCUCUUUCGGCUGGGACGAAGCGAGAGUGACGGUAAUUGGAAAAGAAGCACCGGCUAACUACGUG